GAAAACGCAGAUGUGGUCGGGGAGGUGGAGGCUAAGCAGAACGCGCUGUUGCCUGUGCCAGUAGUUGAUGUUAGUCCGGUCGAUCCGCGGCUUGUUGCUACAGUGAAUCCAGGGAGACUGGAUCCCAAGUUGCAACUAGAGGAGGAUCUUUUCCAAGGAUGAAAUCCGCCUUUUGAAAAAGCACUGGAAUCAGUCACACGAUUUCUCUCUUGGCUCGGAGCUCCUACACUACCUAGUUGUAGAGAGCGCGUUCUUUGAAGUACAGCUGGCAAGAGCAAGCAGCCAAUCUAAGCGCUGGAUUCUUGGCAAGAGGACGACGUCAGCCAAUGAGAGAUUCGACCAAGGACAGAAACGCUAAAGCUUCAUGCCAAUCAAUAACUCUUGUGCGGAUUUGACUGUCAAGCAAGGAAUGGAAACGUCUUCAUAGACGCAGGGCAUGUGCAUGCUUACACCGUACCAUGAAGUUAAGCAGAAGUUCCCAUGUACUCACCAGGGGGCCAGAAGUGCAAUAAACGGACCCAUUAUCAAUAAACAAUGGCUGACUAAAGUGAAGACGCUUACAA